rnacentral:rRNA from 1 species
UCUCGGGGUUACAGCCUUGCUGAAUUAUUCACCCUUGUCUUUUGCGUACUUCUUGUUUCCUUGGUGGGUUCGCCCACCACUAGGACAAACAUAAACCUUUUGUAAUUGCAAUCAGCGUCAGUAACAAAUUAAUAAUUACAACUUUCAACAACGGAUCUCUUGGUUCUGGCAUCGAUGAAGAACGCAGCGAAAUGCGAUAAGUAGUGUGAAUUGCAGAAUUCAGUGAAUCAUCGAAUCUUUGAACGCACAUUGCGCCCUUUGGUAUUCCAAAGGGCAUGCCUGUUCGAGCGUCAUUUGUACCCUCAAGCUUUGCUUGGUGUUGGGCGUCUUGUCUCUAGCUUUGCUGGAGACUCGCCUUAAAGUAAUUGGCAGCCGGCCUACUGGUUUCGGAGCGCAGCACAAGUCGCACUCUCUAUCAGCAAAGGUCUAGCAUCCAUUAAGCCUUUUUUUCAACUUUUGACCUCGGAUCAGGUAGGGAUACCCGCUGAACUUA